GGGGGCCCCGCACAAGCGGCGGAGCGUGCGGUUUAAUUCGACGCAACGCGCAGAACCUUACCAGGGCUUGACAUGCGACUGCAGAGCGGUGAAAGCCGAAGUCCUUCGAGGGUGUCGCACAGGUGCUGCAUGGCUGUCGUCAGCUCGUGUCGUGAGAUGUUGGGUUAAGUCCCGCAACGAGCGCAACCCCCGUGGCCAGUUACGUGGGUGUCUGGCCAGACUGCCGGUAGCAAGCCGGAGGAAGGCGGGGAUGAUGUCAAGUCAGCAUGGCCCUUACGUCCUGGGCUACACGCACGCUACAAUGGGGCGGACAGAGGGUAGCCAAGCCGCGAGGUGGAGCGAAUCCCAAAAACCGCUUCUCAGUUCAGAUUGUGGGCUGCAACUCGCCCGCAUGAAGGCGGAGUCGCUAGUAACCGCAGGUCAGCAGUACUGCGGUGAAUACGUUCCCGGGCCUU
rnacentral:rRNA from 1 species